GCGGUCUGGGGAGAGGCUCCUGUGCGGCCGAGCCGGUGCCGGGCAGCCCGACCCUGACCUACAGCAAGCGCCCAGGGGCCGCCGGCCCGGGUGCGACGUUGCAGUAACAGGUGUGAGCACCCUAGCAGCAGUUUGGUGAUCAUGUAUGAUACUGCACACAGGC